UACGGAGGGUGCAAACGUUGUCCGGAAUCAUUGGGCGUAAAGCGUAUGUAGGCGGCUUAGUAAGUCUGAUAUCAAAGACCGAUGCUUAACAUCGGGCCGGUACCAGAUACUGCUAGGCUAGAGGAUAGCAGGGGUCCAUGGAACUUUCAGUGUAGGAGUGAAAUCCGUAGAUAUUGAAAGGAACACCAAUGGCGAAGGCAAUGUACUGGGCUAUAUCUGACGCUGAGAUACGAAAGCGUGGGGAGCGAACGGG
rnacentral:rRNA from 1 species